rnacentral:lncRNA from 1 species
AGCUACUGGGGAGCCUGAGGCAGGAGAAUCGCUUGAACCUGGGAGGCAGAGGUUACAGUGAGCCGAGAUUGCACCACUGCAGUCUGCCUGGGUGACAGAGCUAGACUCUGUCUCAAAAACAGAAAAACAAAAAACAACUUUCCAGUGGCUUCUCACUGCUCUGAGAAUAAACUCCAGGCUCUUCCAUUGCAACCAACAGGAUCUGUUGAUUCGACCCCAGCCCCUCUUUCCAGGCCCUCAUCACUUUGAUCCUCUCUUAACCUAUCCUGCUCCAGCUGCACUGGCUGCCUUCCUAUUCCUCCAGCAUACCAAGAUUGUUUCUGCCUCAGGGCCUUUGCAUCUGCUGUUCUCUUCGCCUGGACUCCUCUUUGUUCUUUUUUUUUUUUUUUCUUUGAGAUGGAGUCUCACUCUGUCGCCCAGGCUGAAGUGCAGUG